AGCCCAGAGCCUGAAUCAGUGUGUGUGUUAGUGGAAGCGUCUGGAAAGGCGCGCGAUACAGGGUGACAGCCCCGUACACAAAAAUACACAUAUUGUGAGCUCGAUGAGUAGGGCGGGACACGUGGUAUCCUGUCUGAAUAUGGGGGGACCAUCCUCCAAGGCUAAAUACUCCUGACUGACCGAUAGUGAACCAGUACCGUGAGGGAAAGGCGAAAAGAACCCCGGCGAGGGGAGUGAAAAAGAACCUGAAACCGUGUACGUACAAGCAGUGGGAGCACGCUUAGGCGUGUGACUGCGUACCUUUUGUAUAAUGGGUCAGCGACUUAUAUUCUGUAGCAAGGUUAACCGAAUAGGGGAGCCGAAGGGAAACCGAGUCUUAACUGGGCGUUAAGUUGCAGGGUAUAGACCCGAAACCCGGUGAUCUAGCCAUGGGCAGGUUGAAGGUUGGGUAACACUAACUGGAGGACCGAACCGACUAAUGUUGAAAAAUUAGCGGAUGACUUGUGGCUGGGGGUGAAAGGCCAAUCAAACCGGGAGAUAGCUGGUUCUCCCCGAAAGCUAUUUAGGUAGCGCCUCGUGAAUUCAUCUCCGGGGGUAGAGCACUGUUUCGGCAAGGGGGUCAUCCCGACUUACCGACCCGAUGCAAACUGCGAAUACCGGAGAAUGUUAUCACGGGAGACACACGGCGGGUGCUAACGUCCGUCGUGAAGAGGGAAACAACCCAGACCGCCAGCUAAGGUCCCAAAGUCAUGGUUAAGUGGGAAACGAUGUGGGAAGGCCCAGACAGCCAGGAUGUUGGCUUAGAAGCAGCCAUCAUUUAAAGAAAGCGUAAUAGCUCACUGGUCGAGUCGGCCUGCGCGGAAGAUGUAACGGGGCUAAACCAU
rnacentral:rRNA from 1 species